rnacentral:rRNA from 1 species
UCGUACUCGAUAUGUCAAAAAUGACUCUCGGCAACGGAUAUCUCGGCUCUCGCAUCGAUGAAGAACGUAGCGAAAUGCGAUACUUGGUGUGAAUUGCAGAAUACCGUGAACCAUCGAGUCUUUGAACGCAAGUUGCGCCCGAAGCCAUCCGGUUGAGGGCACG